UCAGUUCAGAUCGUAGGCUGCAACUCGCCUACGUGAAGUAGGAAUCGCUAGUAAUCGCAGGUCAGCAUACUGCGGUGAAUACGUUCCCGGGCCUUGUACACACCGCCCGUCACACCAUGGAAGUUGGCCACGCCCGAAGUCGUUACUUUAACCCUUGUGGAGAAGGACGCCGAAGGUGGGGCUGAUGACUGGGGUGAAGUCGUAACAAGGUAGCCGUACCGGAAGGUGCGGCUGGAUCACCUCCUGA
rnacentral:rRNA from 1 species